rnacentral:lncRNA from 1 species
ACCAGGCUCCCGAGCCUGGGGCAUGCUAGGAUUGUAGUCCCGAAGCUCUUGAAAGGGCGGGAGCGGUGAAGAGACUACAUACAGCUCCCAGCAUGCACAGCAAGGCCGGCACAACCGGACUUCGCCUUCAGGACUGCGCGCCGCCUCCUGUUCAUGCUGGCUGGGAUUGUAAUCCAUUCGCCCAGUGAUGAAAAAACUGGAAGCUAAUCAAAGACGACAACUCCCAUUUUCCAGAUUAACUCGAAGUACCCCACGACUAAACGCUAAUGAAACUAGAGGAGGCACAGCUUCAGCUCCGUGCAGGAUGGAUGCACAAGAGCAGAAUCUCCAUGGGACGCCUUUCUGGAGCAUCAGUAUUACUGCAGGAUUUGGAAGAAACAAAUUCAAAUAAUUUCCAAAGUCAAAGCAACCUAUAUGUCAUCAUACAAACUACAGGCUACGAUGAGCACCUCAUUUUCUUUCUGGAAGGCUGACCUUAAAUGUCCUGCACAUUCCUAUAGUGCAUAUUUACCCUUUUCCUAUACUAAGUAAGCCCUAAAUCUUGGCAGUAACAGCCUGGGGAACUACCUGUCUUGCUACCACUCAAGACCAUGCUUCUGUCCACAAAUUCCCCCCAAUAAAUUACCCUUUACUGACAAA